rnacentral:rRNA from 1 species
UACGUAGGUGGCAAGCGUUGUCCGGAUUUACUGGGCGUAAAGAGCGCGCAGGCGGUCGUCCAAGUCGCGUGUGAAAGCCCCCGGCUCAACUGGGGAGGGUCACGCGAUACUGGUCGACUCGAAGGCAGGAGAGGGUAGUGGAAUUCCCGGUGUAGUGGUGAAAUUCGUAGAUAUCGGGAGGAACACCGGUGGCGAAGGCGGCGACCUGGGACAAUACUGACGCUGAGGUGCGAAAGCGUGGGGAGCAAACAGG